rnacentral:rRNA from 1 species
UCCCGGCACGGGGAGGUAGUGACGAAAAAUAACAAUACGGGACUCUUCAUGAGGCCCCGUAAUUGGAAUGAGCGCAGUCUAAACCCUUGGGCGAGGACCCAUUGGAGGGCAAGUCUGGUGCCAGCAGCCGCGGUAAUUCCAGCUCCAAUAGCGUAUAUUAAAGUUGUUGCAGUUAAAAAGCUCGUAGUUGGAUCUCGGGCGCAGGCGGGCGGUCCGGCUCGCGCCGGCUCGCCGCCCGUUCCCCUGCCCCACCCCUGCCGGCUCCCUCCCGGUGGUGCUCUUCACUGAGCGUCCCGGGCGGCCGGCGCGUUUACUUUGAAAAAAUUAGAGUGUUCAAGGCGGGCCCGCCGAGCCCGAAUAACUGCGCAUGGAAUAAUGGAAUAGGACCUCGGUUCUAUUUUGCUGGUUUUCGGAAUCCGAGGUAAUGAUUGACGGGGACAAACGGGGGCAUUCGUAUUGCGGCGUUAGAGGUGAAAUUCUUGGAUCGCCGCAAGACGGGCUACUGCGAAA